rnacentral:rRNA from 1 species
GGAGUUAGCCGGUGCUUCUUCUGUGAGUGAUGUCCUUCCUGCCGGCUAUUAACCCGCAGGCCUUCUUCCUCACUGAAAGUGCUUUACAACCCGAAGGCCUUCUUCACACACGCGGCAUGGCUGGAUCAGGGUUGCCCCCAUUGUCCAAUAUUCCCCACUGCUGCCUCCCGUAGGAGUCUGGGCCGUGUCUCAGUCCCAGUGUGGCUGAUCAUCCUCUCAGACCAGCUACGGAUCGUCGCCUUGGUGAGCCGUUACCUCACCAACCAGCUAAUCCGACAUAGGCUCAUCCGAUAGCGCGAGGCCCGAAGGUCCCCCGCUUUCCCCCGUAGGGCGUAUGCGGUAUUAGCCUGGGUUUCCCCAGGUUAUCCCCCACUACCGGGCAGAUUCCUAUGCAUUACUCACCCGUCCGCCGCUCGCCACCAGGGAGCAAGCUCCCCGUGCUGCCGCUCGACUUGCAUGUGUUAGGCCUGCCGCCAGCGUUCAAUCUGAGCCAGAAUCGAAACCCUGA